CAGCACGCAUACGUAUCCAGUUUUUUACACCUGUAUUUCCACAAACAAUUUUGUGUUUUACCGACAGGUGCUAUGUACAGUGAGCGUUGAAUACUCAAGGAGUUCAUCUUGGUAAUUGGUGAAGUUCACGUUUGAAGUCGCCCUUAAUUGUACUGUAGCGGCUAGCCAAGCCCAGCAGGGGGAUUUCUGAUCGUCGUCAUCAACGAGCUCCAGACUGUUGAUUUGUAUAGGCUCCCCUAUAAUACAGACAAUUUCCCCAACAAACCUUUUUAACGGAUCGGAAUCAUCACCAGCAAUCAUCGUAUUUUAAAUAUUAAAACAACUGAAUAAUCACCAAACAGAAGCUGUUCCACAGCACAACCGUAUAAGCAACUAAACAAGAAGACAUAAAAAAUAAUGAGGUCUUUCAGAGAAUUGGCCAACGUUUUAAACUUUCUAUCUUUUAGAAGGCCUACUGCAGAUGGAUACGGCAGUUGGCGAAUAACGAAGUAUACACACUUACAAACGGCAAGAACAGAAAUGUGUACUGCCACUCGGGGAUCUUUUUCAUUUUGCGUAACAGAGCAAUACGGAUUUUUUUUUAUACCUUUGGAUGUCAUUGAACCACCAGAACAUGGAAACGAACGCUCAACAGCUACAAUAGCAGAAGAACUUAGCUUUGCGAACUGAGAAACCUCCAACCUGCUUCUUCGACUUAAAACCAGUAAAUUUGAAAGGUCAUUAACAAACAACUUUUGUAAACCUGUAGCAGAUGAAGAGUUUAAUUACGCAAUGAGUUUUGAC